AGCUGGUUGAAUCCGGGCCAAAUUGUUAUUCAUAGCGGAGCAUUUGGUCCCCUUCAACCAGCUGU
rnacentral:pre_miRNA from 1 species